rnacentral:rRNA from 1 species
GACCCCACUGCUAUCGGGGUGGGACUAAAACAUGCAAGUCGAGCGCCUCCAAGCCAUGGUGAAGGCGCGGCAAACGGCUCAGUAACACGUGGCCAACCUACCCUUGGGACGGAGACAACCCCGGGAAACUGGGGCUAAUCCCCGAUAGGCGAGGACUCCUGGAAUGGACCCUCGCCCAAAAGACGUUGAGUCCAUGCUACUCAACGCCGCCCAAGGAUGGAGCCGCGGCCGAUCAGGUAGUUGGCGAGGCAACGGCUCACCAAGCCUAUAACCGGUACGGGCCGUGAAAGCGGGAGCCCGGAGAUGGGCACUGAGACAAGGGCCCAGGCCCUACGGGGCGCAGCAGUUGCGAAAACUCCGCAAUGCGCGAAAGCGUGACGGGGCUACCCCGAGUGCCGCCCGUUGAGGGCGGCUUUUCCACGGUGUAAGGAGCCGUGGGAAUAAGGAGAGGGCAAGCCUGGUGUCAGCCGCCGCGGUAAUACCAGCUCUCCGAGUGGUGGGGACGAUUAUUGGGCUUAAAGCGUUCGUAGCCGGCUCAACAAGUCUCCCGUUAAAUCCAGCGAUCUAAUCGUUGGACUGCGGAAGAUACUGUUGGGCUAGGAGGCGGGAGAAGCCGACGGUAUUCUCGGGGUAGGGGUGAAAUCCUGUAAUCCCGGGAGGACCACCAGUGGCGAAGGCGGUCGGCUAGAACGCGCUCGACGGUGAGGGACGAAAGCUGGGGGAGCGAACCGGAUUAGAAACCCGGAUAGUCCCAGCUGUAAACGAUGCGGGCUAGGUGUUGGGGUGGCCACGAGCCACCUCAGUGCCGCAUGGAAACAAUUAAGCCCGCCGCCUGGGGAGUACGGCCGCAAGGCUGAAACUUAAAGGAAUUGGCGGGGGAGCACCACAAGGCGUGAAGCUUGCGGUUUAAUUGGAGUCAACGCCGGGAACCUUACCGGGGGCGACAGCAGAAUGAAAGCCAGAUUGAAGGUCUUGCUGGACGAGCUGAGAGGAGGUGCAUGGCCGUCGCCAGUUCGUGCCGUGAGGUGUCCUGUUAAGUCAGGCAACGAUCGAGACCCGCCUCCCUUGUUGCUACUGGUGAAUAGCCAGGCACACUAGGGAAACUGCCGUCGAUAAGACGGAGGAAGGAACGGGCCACGGCAGGUCAGUAUGCCCCGAAUCCCCCGGGCCACACGCGAGCUGCAAUGGCAGGGACAAUGGGUUUCGACCCUGAAAAGGGGAGGCAAUCUCUAAACCCUGCCUCAGUCGGGAUCGGGGGCUGCAACUCGCCCUCGUGAACAUGGAAUGCCUAGUAAUCGCGUGUCAUCAUCGCGCGGUGAAUACGUCCCCGCUCC